rnacentral:rRNA from 1 species
UGGGGAAUAUUGGACAAUGGGCGAAAGCCUGAUCCAGCCAUGCCGCGUGUGUGAAGAAGGUCUUCGGAUUGUAAAGCACUUUAAGUUGGGAGGAAGGGCAGUAAGCGAAUACCUUGCUGUUUAGACGUUACCGACAGAAUAAGCACCGGCUAACUCUGUGCCAGCAGCCGCGGUAAUACAGAGGGUGCAAGCGUUAAUCGGAAGUACUGGGCGUAAAGCGCGCGUAGGUGGUUCGUUAAGUUGGAUGUGAAAGCCGCGGGCUCAACCUGGUAACUGCAUUCAAAACUGGCGAGCUAGAGUAGAGCAGAGGGUGGUGGAAUUUCCUGUGUAGCGGUGAAAUGCGUAGAUAUAGGGAGGAACACCAGUGGCGAAGGCGACCACCUGGGCUCAUACUGACACUGAGGUGCGAAAGCGUGGGGAGCAAACAGG